rnacentral:lncRNA from 1 species
CUAUUUGCUAAUUCAUAAUUUGCAUUAAUGUUUUAGUUAUUUUUUAUUAUUUUUUGGGUUGAAACUUUAGCAUACGGUAGCUAAACUAAUGCUUGUAUUUUAUGUCUAAAUGUCGAGUCUACAAGUUAAUCAGAAACAGAAAAUAUUAAAAUUUCUUGAACAUUGACAUUAUUAUCAUAACUAAGCAUCGUUUGUUUGUAAAGUUUUGCAUCUCGGAACUGAGGAGGUUAUUUAAUGAAAUGGUUGUGUCCGCUCACAGCUCAAAUUCUCUCUCAAAGUCUCUCUGUGGGACCAUCACAGAGCUAGAACAACUGUGAUUAAAAUCACAUUAAAGCUAUCGAUUCAAAUCAAAGCGGCGAAUGGAAUUGUUUUUAUUACCUUUAUUAUAAAUUUUCAGAGGAACACUGUUUUCAGCUUUUAUUAACACGGUAAGUUAGAGUUGAAUUUUGGAAGGUAUUUUAAAUUAAAUUAUAACCAUUUUCUUUAUUUGGAAAAUGACAAGUUUUGACAAAUUAGACUAAUAUCAACGUAGCUAAUAGUUGUUAGCUGUUAUUGUUACUAAUAUUAUUUUCAUAAUUAUCAUGAUUAUUGUUACUGUAACUGCUAAGCCGGUCAUGGUCAUUGACUUUGGUUUUCAUUCCUCUCAGGAUCAUCUAAUGAGGUGCUCGCAGAGAGAGAGAGAAAGAGAGAGGCUUGGCCACGGAGGGAGGCGCCUCUCCGUCUUUUAUCGCCUUUGAAGAGUUUGUUCUCUCGCUUUUAGAAGAAGACAUACCCGUGAGAAAGUCAGUUGCUCGAGAAUUAUGUUGCUUUAAAGAAGCGCGUGUGGAUUUUACCCGAGAAGAUACGCUCAGCUGCCUACUAGAAGAGCGAGGCUGUAAGGAUUUGGCACGCUCAAGUAAUCCAUCAGGGAACGCACGGUGGGAGUUUGGUGGUGGCCGAGGAGUCAGAUCAGAGCAAUGCCUGCCAUGCCAUCAGUCACCGAUACACCUUGUCACAGGAAACGCUGGCAGGUGCUUGUAUGGGUUAGGGCCAUGGCUACAGAACGAGGUCAGGCGAGUUGGCCAUGGUGAAGCGCUGUGAGGGAAUUUGAUUUGGCUGUGA